rnacentral:rRNA from 1 species
AUGGGAGGAGGCAAAAAGGGUCUGGAGAGUGCGAUCGUGUGCCUACUCGUGCUGGGGCUGGUCCUGGAGCAGGUGCAAGUAGAGGGCGUGGACUGCGGCGCAAACCCCUUCAAAGUGGCCUGCUUCAAUUCUUGCCUUCUCGGUCCUAGUACAGUGUUCCAGUGCGCAGACUUCUGUGCUUGUCGACUCCCCGCGGGCUUGGCCUCUCUACGCAGCUCCGAUGAACCAAACGCCAUUGAGUAUUGCAGCUUGGGAUGCAGGUCUUCUGUGUGUGACAACGUGAUCAGCACAGCUGACAACACUGAAGAGAUGAAGCUCUAUGUGAAACGCUGCGGUGAUGCUUGUGACAGUUUCUGUAAGGGGGAUACUCUCUUGGCAUCCCUUGAUGACUAA